AACGAACGCUGGCGGCAGGCUUAACACAUGCAAGUCGAGCGCCCCGCAAGGGGAGCGGCAGACGGGUGAGUAACGCGUGGGAACGUGCCCUUUGGUUCGGAGCAACUCCGGGAAACUGGAGCUAAUACCGGAUAAGCCCUUCGGGGAAAGAUUUAUCGCCAAAGGAUCGGCCCGCGUCUGAUUAGCUAGUUGGUGAGGUAAUGGCUCACCAAGGCGACGAUCAGUAGCUGGUCUGAGAGGAUGAUCAGCCACACUGGGACUGAGACACGGCCCAGACUCCUACGGGAGGCAGCAGUGGGGAAUAUUGGACAAUGGGCGCAAGCCUGAUCCAGCCAUGCCGCGUGAGUGAUGAAGGCCUUAGGGUUGUAAAGCUCUUUUGUCCGGGAAGAUAAUGACUGUACCGGAAGAAUAAGCCCCGGCUAACUUCGUGCCAGCAGCCG
rnacentral:rRNA from 1 species